UUCUGAAAAUGAUGUGGGCACUGAUAGUUUAUCAGAGGCAUUAGCUGUGCUGAUCUAAUUUAUUUGCAUGUCAGUAUGAUCCUGAA